GACGAACGCUGGCGGCGUGCUUAACACAUGCCAGUCGUACGGUAAGGCCCUUUCGGGGGUACACGAGUGGCGCACGGGUGAGUAACACGUGAGUAACCUGCCCACAACUUUGGGAUAACGCUAGGAAACUGGUGCUAAUACUGGAUAUGUGCUCCUGCUGCAUGGUGGGGGUUGGAAAGCUCCGGCGGUUGUGGAUGGACUCGCGGCCUAUCAGCUUGUUGGUGGGGUAGUGGCCUACCAAGGCGGCGACGGGUAGCCGGCCUGAGAGGGUGACCGGCCACAUUGGGACUGAGAUACGGCCCAGACUCCUACGGGAGGCAGCAGUGGGGAAUAUUGCACAAUGGGCGCAAGCCUGAUGCAGCAACGCCGCGUGCGGGAUGACGGCCUUCGGGUUGUAAACCGCUUUCAGCAGGGACGAAGCUUUCUGUGACGGUACCUGCAGAAGAAGCACCGGCUAACUACGUG
rnacentral:rRNA from 1 species